rnacentral:sRNA from 1 species
UACUGUGGUCUGCGGCCAGCGGUGGCCUC